GCCAGCACCCUCGAUUUUUGUUUUGAUUCAUUCACAUAAAAAUAUAGCACAAAAUAACUACAAAUUUAUAAAUUUAAGCUAAUAUAAGCUACACUAAAUUACAUGGGUGGGUGGGCUUAACAUUGACGGGGGUUCGGGGGCAGCGCCCCCGAUUUUUUUUUUUAUUCAUUAACAUAAAAUAGCAUAAAAUAACUACAAAUUAUAAAGUUCAACUAAUAUAACAUAAUUUUUUGAUAAAUACGCUAGACUAAAUUAUUUGGGUGGGCUAAAUUAAACUAUUGGGGGGGCUAAUAAUAUAUAGAUAUAAUAGAUAGUAUAAAUUUUUAAAAAAUGAGAGUGGGCUGGAGCCCACCCUUGCCAAAUGGUGGCUCCGCCACUG
rnacentral:lncRNA from 1 species